AAAAAACACUGGCUGGAACAGCGCUGGUAUCUCUAGGCAGGUCCCAUGACCUCCUCAGGUGACACGUAGCCUUCACGGUUGCCUAGCUCCUCAUGGCUCAGAGGCACGUACAGUGGAGAGAUGCGGGGAGGACCGUUCUCGGGUAACACUUCCAUUUCCUGAUGUACAACAUGCAGCUUCCUGAAAGCGAGAAGGCCUGUCUGCUCCUUGAUCAUUCUCUUGGAAUAACUGAUAACCCAUAGGGAAGCUGAGGAUAAUACAAAGAAAACCUUCCAAAAAAGAAAGACUGCUUCAA